UACGAAGGGUGCAAGCGUUACUCGGAAUUACUGGGCGUAAAGCGCGCGCAGGCGGUUCUUUAAGUCUGAUGUGAAAGCCCACGGCUCAACCGUGGAGGGUCAUUGGAAACUGGGGGACUUGAGUACAGAAGAGAAGAGUGGAAUUCCACGUGUAGCGGUGAAAUGCGUAGAGAUGUGGAGGAACACCAGUGGCGAAGGCGACUCUUUGGUCUGUAACUGACGCUGAGGCGCGAAAGCGUGGGGAGCAAACAGG
rnacentral:rRNA from 1 species